rnacentral:tRNA from 1 species
AAGAGAUUUAAUAAAAACAGCUGCUAACUGAAUUUUUAAGCGAAAAUAACGUUUAUCUCUUU